UACAGAGGUCUCAAGCGUUGUUCGGAUUCAUUGGGCGUAAAGGGUGCGUAGGUGGCAUGGUAAGUUGAAGGUGAAAUCUCGGAGCUCAACUCCGAAACUGCCUUCAAUACUGCUGUGCUUGAGGACUGUAGAGGAGAAUGGAAUUCACGGUGUAGCGGUGAAAUGCGUAGAUAUCGAGAGGAACACCUGCGGCGAAGGCGGGUUGCUGGGCCGACACUGACGCUGAUGCGCGAAAGCCAGGGGAGCGAACGGG
rnacentral:rRNA from 1 species